rnacentral:rRNA from 1 species
CCUACGGGGGGCAGCAGUAGGGAAUAUUGCUCAAUGGGGGAAACCCUGAAGCAGCAACGCCGCGUGAAGGAUGACGGCUCUCGGGUUGUUAACCCCUUUUUAUAGAGGAGUUAAUGACGGCAUCUGUCGAAUAAGCACCGGCUAACUCCGAUCCAGCAGCCGCGGUAAAACGGAGGGUGCAAGCGUUAAUCGGAAUCAGUGGGCGUUAAGAGGGCGUAGGCGGGGUAGCAAGUACGAUGUGAAAUCCGAUGGCUUAACCAUAGAACUGCAUUUGAAACUGUUAUUCUAGAGUAUGGGAAGGGUAGGUGGAAUUCUUGGUGUAGGGGUAAAAUGCGUAGAGAUCAAGAGGAAUACUCAUUGCGAAGGCGACCUGCUAGAACAUAACUGACGCUGAUGCGCGAAAGCGUGGGGAGCAAACAGGAUUAGAUACCCCAGUAGUC